UAGGGUUAUUAAUUACAUCUCUCCACCGCGCCGUCGGUAGUAUGCGCCGUCGUUUCAUUAACCGUCUAUACACAUACUCUAAUAAUGCUUACUCUAUUCAUGAGAUUUCUGACCCAAAUGGCAAUUGUUUAAAAAGUAUGGAGGAUAUAAAGGCAGAAGGUGUCCGUUUUUUCUCGGAAUUACUGACACACACGCCACCGGAUUUUACUGGUAUUGAUAUUGAUGCUCUUAGGGAGUUGAUUCCUUUCCGUUGUUCUCUGGCAGAUAGAGAGCGGCUUCUUGGGGAAGUCUUGGAAGAUGAGGUGAAAAGAGUUUUAUUCUCUAUGCCUAAAAACAAGUCGCCGGGACCUGAUGGUUAUACUGUUGAGUUUUACAAGGCAGCUUGGCCGAUUGUUGGGAGGGAUUUCACAAUUGCGAUUCAAUCUUUUUUCAAAUUUGGAUUCUUACCUAAAGGAUUGAAUGCUACGAUUCUAGCUCUUAUUCCUAAGACGAUAAAUGCUAGAGUGAUGAAGGAUUAUAGGCCCAUUUCCUGCUGCAAUGUGGUGUACAAGACCAUUUCAAAAAUCUUGGCGAAUCGAUUAAAAUCGAUCCUUCCUAAUUUCAUUGCUCCAAACCAGUCUGCGUUUAUUGAAGAUAGACUCUUGAUGGAAAAUUUACUUCUUGCUACAGAAUUGGUGAAAGAUUAUCAUAAGGAAAGAGUCUCUCCCCGAUGUGCGAUGAAGAUAGACAUUUCGAAGGCUUUUGAUUCAGUACAAUGGUCUUUUUUGCUGAAUGUGCUCACUGCUUUGGAUUUACCGGAAACAUUCAUUCAUUGGAUCCAUCUAUGUAUAUCAACGGCUUCUUUUUCGGUUCAAAUAAAUGGAGAGUUGGCUGGGUUCUUCAGUAGUAAAAGAGGGCUGCGGCAGGGAUGCUCUCUCUCUCCAUACCUCUUCGUUAUUUGCAUGAAUGUUUUAUCAUCUCUUCUAGACAAAGCUGCGGUGGCUAAGAAAUUUGGUUUUCAUCCAAGAUGCAAAAAUAUGAAACUUACUCAUCUAUGUUUUGCGGACGACAUAAUGGUAUUCACGGAUGGAAAGGUUGCUUCCAUGGAAGGAAUUCUUGCAGUGUUCAAGGAAUUUCAUAAGAUUUCAGGAUUGAGUAUUAGUCUGGAGAAAUCUACUCUGUUUUUGGCCGGCAUUUCUGGGUCCCAAAGAGAGGAUAUUCUAGUACGGUUUCCAUUUGAUUCUGGAGCAUUACCAGUUCGAUAUUUGGGUCUGCCUCUAAUGACGAAGAGGAUGACUCUAUCGGACUGCCUCCCGUUACUUGAAAAAAUCAGAGCUCGGAUUAAUUCAUAGCGGAAUAAAUUUUUAUCGUUUGCGGGGAGACUGCAGCUCUUACGCUCAGCGAUCGCAAGUCUUACAAAUUUCUGGAUUGCUGCAUUCAGGUUACCUUCGGCUUGUGUUAAAGAAAUCGACAAAAUUUGUGCAGCGUUUUUGUGGUCGGGUCCGUCCCUCAACUCAAAGAAAAACAAAGUUGCGUGGAAAGAUGUGUGUAAGCCAAAGGAAGAGGGUGGUUUGGGGCUCAAAUCCGUUGUUGAGAUGAAUAAGGUCAGUUGUUUUAAGCUCAUAUGGAGAAUUGUUUCAAGUUCAAAGUCGCUUUGGGUAAAUUGGAUACAGAAAGAGCUACUUCGGUCUAGUUCUUUUUGGUCAAUUAAAGAAACCACUUCUUUGGGCUCGUGGAUGUGGAGGAAAUUGCUUAAGUACAGAUCGCAAGCAAAGAGUUUUCACUCGAUGCAGAUUAAAUGUGGACUACAAACUUCCUUUUGGUAUGAUCAUUGGUGUCCUCUAGGUCGGCUAUAUGAUACUCUCGGUGAUAGGGGUUUCAUUGAUCUAGGGAUCUCAUCGGAUGCAACUGUGGCUGCAGCACUUGCGAACCACAGACCUAAGCACCACCGUGUGGAUUAUUUGAAUCGGAUAGAGUUGGAACUUGGACGACUUCGAAACAGGGGACAAUGUUCUGACCCGGACGUAGCCUUGUGGAGAAGACCAGACAACAAGUUCAAGCCUCGGUUUAUUACUUCAGAAACUUGGCUACAGAUUCGAACAGAUGGUCAUAAAAUAAGUUGGGUUAAGAGUGUUUGGUUCUCGGAUUCUAUCCCGAAACACUCCUUCCUGACUUGGCUUGCGGCAAAGAAUAGACUGACCACGGGUGAGUGUAUGAUCGCCUGGAAUAUGGGAGUGAAUCCAUCAUGUGUUUUUUGUCAAGCACCGAUGGAGACACGUGACCAUCUCUUCUUUUCUUGUGCCUACUCUUCUCGGGUCUGGGAGGAUUUGGCAAGCAGACUCCUUCGAAGACGCUACACAAAUUGUUUUUUGGAGAUCAUGUCUCUCUUGUCUGAUUCCACAUUCAAAGGUACUCUUGGUUUCAUUCUACGGCUUUUGUUCCAAGCAACGAUCCAUACCAUUUGGUUGGAAAGAAACAAACGCAGGCAUGGUGAUCCGAUAACUACUGCAGAUCAACUAAUCAAGUUUCUUGAUCGCUUGAUUCGCAACAAAAUAUCAUCCAUCCGUCUCUUGAAUCCCGCCAAGCUCGAAAAUGGACUUCGUCUAUGGUUCGAUUCCAGGAACUAGACUUCUAAAUUAUUCUGUUGAUUUCUUUCAAAACAAUAUUUGAUUUAAGGUUGCAUUUAUUGUACAAAGGACUUUUUUGGGUUGAAUAAAUUUUACAUUCAUUCAAAAAAAAAAAAAAAUAAUGCUUACUUAUCUUCUAGACUAGUACUAACAUAAGAGCUUCUUGCCUUCUCGGCCUUGUAUGAAGUUGUAUCUAGCAAAAUGGUGCACUGCUAAGCAGACAACUUUAGAUCUUGUUCCUUGUUCUAGAUAUAGAUUUGAUAUAGACACUUUCAUAGAUAAAAAAAAAAAAAGGCGUU
rnacentral:lncRNA from 1 species